AAAUAUAUGUAUAAUAAAUAAAUAAGAUCCCAAAAUUUAAAAUUUUGAUGUCCGAUACAUCCAACAAAAGUCCAACAAAAUUUAAUCUAUACAUCGUACGUUCUAAGCAAAUUGGGUACUUCAGCGCGGCCAGCCACGAACUUGAACCGAUUAUAUCUACAUCAAAUUAAAUAAACAAUUAAAUAAAUACCAAUUAAUUAUUUAAAUAAUUAAAUAAAAAAAAACAAAAAAAAACAAAGGGAUAGAGCAGAUCCUAGAGGAUCAACUUUUCAGAGACAUUAAAUGCUUCAUUUAAUUUGAGAUAGGAAUAUGUACAACUUGCUACCCACGCCACUUUCACCUCCAUCUUUUAUACAUCUACGUAGAUAUCACACUCAUUUCCUUUCACCCACAUCACCAUCACACCAUCUAUUCUCUCUAUAAUACUCCUUCACAAUCGAUUUUUCCCUAAUUUCAAUUCUCUGCAACAAGAACUCACAAGAACAAGACUUAUCUCAAUCAAAUUCAAGAAACCGUGAACCAAACUUGAAACACGGAGCUAUCGGUUGUUUUCUCAAACUCUGUUCAAGAACUCAUCUUUCGAGGUAAAUCGGGGCGACGGAACCGGCGGAGAAGCCGACAGCAGCGGCGACGACUCGGGGCAGUGGCUGACCGCAGCCGCUGUGGCCGAACCCGACGGCGACGGAGAAACAGCAGAGGCCGCCGGUGUGAGGAUCGACGCGAUGGUGGAGGAUCUGGACCGCGACUACAAAGAUUCCUCCACUCCGGAGCGGUGGCCGACGGCGAGCUGCAGCGGGCGACAGCGGCGUUCCUCCUCGCUGCGGCAGCAGCUUCUCCCGGCGACUCUGCGACAGCGGACGGACAGAGGCGGCGAGGCAGCAGCAGCUGGCGACUUCCUCCGCGGCAGCUCCGACGGCAGCGUCGAGCCGGAGAGAGAGUGACGGAAAGAAGAGAGAGAGAGAGAGAUUUGUCCAAUUUGGGGAAGAAGUGUGAAUAGUGUUGAGAGAGGAAGAAACCGAUAGUGGGGGUGGAGUAUGUGGGUUUUGUUUUUUUUUGUUGGACUAAUAAAUUAGUUACUUGGGCUAAGGGAGGGGAAGAAUUUAAUUUUGAGCCCAAUUCCUUUUAACAAUUGGGGUGCAGUAAAUAAAUGAAGGGAAGUCCAAUUUCGAAA